rnacentral:rRNA from 1 species
AUUGAACGCUGGCGGCAUGCCUUACACAUGCAAGUCGAACGGUAACAGGCCGCAAGGUGCUGACGAGUGGCGAACGGGUGAGUAAUGCAUCGGAACGUGCCCAGUCGUGGGGGAUAACUGCUCGAAAGAGCAGCUAAUACCGCAUACGACCUGAGGGUGAAAGCGGGGGACCGUAAGGCCUCGCGCGAUUGGAGCGGCCGAUGUCAGAUUAGCUAGUUGGUGGGGUAAAGGCCGACCAAGGCAACGAUCUGUAGUUGGUCUGAGAGGACGACCAGCCACACUGGGACCGAGACACGGCCCAGACUCCUACGGGAGGCAGCAGUGGGGAAUUUUGGACAAUGGGCGCAAGCCUGAUCCAGCAAUGCCGCGUGCAGGAAGAAGGCCUUCGGGUUGUAAACUGCUUUUGUACGGAACGAAACGGUCCUGGUUAAUACCUGGGGCUAAUGACGGUACCGUAAGAAUAAGCACCGGCUAACUACGUGCCAGCCGCCGCUGUAACAC